rnacentral:misc_RNA from 1 species
UUAACGAUAAGGUGAUUACCGUUUAUACCAAUCAGCUCAUAUAACUCGAGUUCGCAUAAAUGAGAAAACCCAAAUAUACCUGUCCAGGAAUACAAAGGGCGGUAAAAAUCCAAUGGGUUGCACCAAGCAUCGUUUUACCCGAGUAAUUUCAACCGGAUGCCUGAAGUCGACGCUCGCUGAUGCACCCAACGCGAUGCUCCAGUAUUUAUAGGAUCCACCAGUUGAGAAGUAGCUUGUGUGAUAUAGCUGCUGCCCAUAUCGUGCGUGAACCAAAAUCAGCGGCUCACGAGUGACGUGGUCAUACAUCCUCUUCACCAUAUACGGCG